rnacentral:rRNA from 1 species
GGGCGUAAAGAGCUCGUAGGCGGUUUGUCGCGUCUGUCGUGAAAGUCCGGGGCUUAACCCCGGAUCUGCGGUGGGUACGGGCAGACUAGAGUGCAGUAGGGGAGACUGGAAUUCCUGGUGUAGCGGUGGAAUGCGCAGAUAUCAGGAGGAACACCGAUGGCGAAGGCAGGUCUCUGGGCUGUAACUGACGCUGAGGAGCGAAAGCAUGGGGAGCGAACAGGAUUAGAUACCCUGGUAGUCCAUGCCGUAAACGUUGGGCACUAGGUGUGGGGACCAUUCCACGGUUUCCGCGCCGCAGCUAACGCAUUAAGUGCCCCGCCUGGGGAGUACGGCCGCAAGGCUAAAACUCAAAGGAAUUGACGGGGGCCCGCACAAGCGGCGGAGCAUGCGGAUUAAUUCGAUGCAACGCGAAGAACCUUACCAAGGCUUGACAUGUUCUCGAUCGCCGUAGAGAUACGGUUUCCCCUUUGGGGCGGGUUCACAGGUGGUGCAUGGUUGUCGUCAGCUCGUGUCGUGAGAUGUUGGGUUAAGUCCCGCAACGAGCGCAACCCUCGUUCCAUGUUGCCAGCACGUAGUGGUGGGGACUCAUGGGAGACUGCCGGGGUCAACUCGGAGGAAGGUGAGGACGACGUCAAAUCAUCAUGCCCCUUAUGUCUUGGGCUUCACGCAUGCUACAAUGGCCGGUACAAUGGGUUGCGAUACUGUGAGGUGGAGCUAAUCCCAAAAAGCCGGUCUCAGUUCGGAUUGGGGUCUGCAACUCGACCCCAUGAAGUCGGAGUCGCUAGUAAUCGCAGAUCAGCAACGCUGCGGUGAAUACGUUCCCGGGCCUUGUACACACCGCCCGUCAAGUCACGAAAGUCGGUAACACCCGAAGCC